rnacentral:misc_RNA from 1 species
GUGUGAAGGGUACGCUAUAUCCUGCAACAAAGGGUUCAAGUUUAAGAUAUCAAUAAACAAUAAAUAGAUCUAAAUUCUCAAAUCAUAAAAUUCAGAAUUCCAAAUCAAACCAUAAGAAGCAAAGCUUUAUUUGAAGCUAAAUGAAGGACCUCAAUACUUUUUAACAGUUAUCAUAAUUUUUAUAUUAUUUUCUAGGCAAUGCAUACAUAUUAUCAUAACAUUAUUUUCUAUAUUAUGGAGACGUGCCACGGAAGUUUUA